AUUGAACGCUGGCGGCAGGCCUAACACAUGCACGUCGAGCGAGCGGCGGACGGGUGAGUAAUGUCUGGGGACUGCCCGAUAGAGGGGGAUCACUACUGGAAACGGUGGCUCAUACCGCAUACUAUCGGCUAACCCCUAUGGGAUUAGCUAGUAGGUGGGGUAAAGGCUCACCUAGGCGACGAUCUCUAGCUGGUCUGAGAGGCUGAUCAGCCACACUGGGACUGAGACACGGCCCAGACUCCAAGGGAGGCAGCAGGGGGGAAUAUUGCACAAUGGGAGCAAGCCUGAUGCAGCCAUGCCGCGUGUAUGAAGAAGGCCUUAGGGUUGUAAAGUACUUUCAGCGGGGAGGCGUUACCCGAAGAAGAAGCACCGGCUAACUCCGUGCCAGCAGCCGCGGUAAUUC
rnacentral:rRNA from 1 species